AUCCGGGUUGCGGACAGUGUCUGGUGGGUAGUUUGACUGGGGCGGUCUCCUCCUAAAGAGUAACGGAGGAGCACGAAGGUUGGCUAAUCCUGGUCGGACAUCAGGAGGUUAGUGCAAUGGCAUAAGCCAGCUUGACUGCGAGCGUGACGGCGCGAGCAGGUGCGAAAGCAGGUCAUAGUGAUCCGGUGGUUCUGAAUGGAAGGGCCAUCGCUCAACGGAUAAAAGGUACUCCGGGGAUAACAGGCUGAUACCGCCCAAGAGUUCAUAUCGACGGCGGUGUUUGGCACCUCGAUGUCGGCUCAUCACAUCCUGGGGCUGAAGUAGGUCCCAAGGGUAUGGCUGUUCGCCAUUUAAAGUGGUACGCGAGCUGGGUUUAGAACGUCGUGAGACAGUUCGGUCCCUAUCUGCCGUGGGCGCUGGAGAACUGAGGGGGGCUGCUCCUAGUACGAGAGGACCGGAGUGGACGCAUCACUGGUGUU
rnacentral:rRNA from 2 species